AUUGAACGCUGGCGGCAUGCCUUACACAUGCAAGUCGAGCGGCAGCACGGGAGCAAUCCUGGUGGCGAGUGGCGAACGGGUGAGUAAAGUAUCGGAACGUGCCCAGUCGUGGGGGAUAACGUAGCGAAAGUUACGCUAAUACCGCAUACGAUCUAUGGAUGAAAGCGGGGGAUCGCACGACCUCGCGCGAUUGGAGCGGCCGAUAUCAGAUUAGGUAGUUGGUGGGGUAACGGCUCACCAAGCCGACGAUCUGUAGCUGGUCUGAGAGGACGACCAGGCAAACUGGGACUGAGGCACGGCCCAGACUCCUUCGGGAGGCAGCAGUGGGGAAUUUUGGACAAGGUGCGAAAGCCUGAGCCAGCCAUGCCGCGUGCAGGAUGAAGGCCUUCGGGUUGUAAACUGCUUUUGUACGGAACGAAAAGGUUUGGCCUAAUAAGCUGAGCUCAUGACGGUACCGUAAGAAUAAGCACCGGCUAACUACGUGCCAGCCGCCGCAGUAA
rnacentral:rRNA from 1 species